UUUAUAUAAUUGGUGUGAAAGCGC
rnacentral:siRNA from 1 species